rnacentral:misc_RNA from 1 species
UGUGGGAGCGGGCUUGCUCGCGAUGCACUUGAUGCAGUUGAUCUGAUUCACCGCAUUGAGCCUUUCGCGAGCAAGCCCGCUCCCACA